rnacentral:rRNA from 1 species
AGAGGAGCCAAGCGUUGUCCGGAUUGACUGGGCGUAAAGGGCACGCAGGUGGUCGCGCAAGUGUGAUGUGAAAGCGGCUCGCUUAACGAGCCGAGGCCAUCGCCGACUGCGUAACUCGAGCGCGAGAGAGGUCCGUGGAAUUGCCGGUGUAGUGGUGAAAUGCGUAGAGAUCGGCAGGAACACCCAGGGGGAAACCAGCGGACUGGCUCGUUGCUGACACUGAGGUGCGACAGCGUGGGGAGCGAACGGGAUUAGAUACCCCGGUAGUCCACGCCGUAAACGAUGGACGCUCGGCGUGUGGCGGCGGUAUCCGCCGCGGCGCGCCUAAGCUAACGCGGUAAGCGUCCCGCCUGGGAACUACGAGCGCAAGCUUA